rnacentral:rRNA from 1 species
AACUGCGAGUGAAGAGGGAAAAGCUCAAAUUUAAAAUCUGGCAGUGCUUCACUGUCCGAGUUGUAACCUAGAGAAGUGUAACCUGCGCUGGACCGUGUAUAAGUCUCCUGGAAUGGAGCAUCACAGAGGGUGAGAAUCCCGUCUUUGACACGGACUACCAGUGCAUUGUGGUUGCGCUCUCAACGAGUCGAGUUGUUUGGGAAUGCAGCUCUAAAUGGGUGGUAAAUUCCAUCUAAAGCUAAAUAUUGGCGAGAGACCGAUAGCGAACAAGUACCGUGAGGGAAAGAUGAAAAGAACUUUGGAAAGAGAGUUAAACAGUAUGUGAAAUUGUUGAAAGGGAAACGUUUGAAGUCAGUCGCGUUGGUUGGGGAUCAGCCUAACAUUGUUGGGUGUACUUCCUGGUUGACGGGCCAACAUCAGUUUUGACUGCCAGAAAAAGGCCAAAGGAAUGUGGCACCCUUGGGUGUGUUAUAGCCCUUGGUCGUAUAUGGUGGUUGGGACUGAGGAAAGCAGCGUGCCGAAAGGCCGGGUUUCGACCACGUUCACGCUGAGGAUGUUGGCAUAAUGGCUUUAAGCGACCCGUCUUGAAACACGGACCAAGGAGUCUAACAUGCAUGCGAGUGUUUGGGUGGAAAACCCUUACGCGUAAUGAAAGUGAAAGUUGAGAUCCCUGUCGCGGGGAGCAUCGACGCCCGGACCAGAACUUUUGGGACGGAUCUGCGGUAGAGCAUGUAUGUUGGGACCCGAAAGAUGGUGAACUAUGCCUGAAUAGGGUGAAGCCAGAGGAAACUCUGGUGGAGGCUUGUAGCGAUUCUGACGAGCAAAUCGAUCGUCAAAUUUGGGUAU